rnacentral:rRNA from 1 species
GACGAACGCUGGCGGCGUGCCUAACACAUGCAAGUCGAACGGAAAGGCCUCUUUCGGGGGGUACUCGAGUGGCGAACGGGUGAGUAACACGUGAGUAACCUGCCCUUGACUUUGGGAUAACUUCAGGAAACUGGGGCUAAUACCGGAUAGGAGCUCCUGCUGCAUGGUGGGGGUUGGAAAGUUUCGGCGGUUGGGGAUGGACUCGCGGCUUAUCAGCUUGUUGGUGGGGUAGUGGCUUACCAAGGCUUUGACGGGUAGCCGGCCUGAGAGGGUGACCGGCCACAUUGGGACUGAGAUACGGCCCAGACUCCUACGGGAGGCAGCAGUGGGGAAUAUUGCACAAUGGGUGGAAGCCUGAUGCAGCAACGCCGUGGGCGGGAGGACGGCCUUCGGGUUGUAAACCGCUUUCGCUCAUGACGAAGCUUUGUGUGACGGUAGUGGGUAAAGAAGCACCGGCUAACUACGUG